GAUGAACGCUGGCGGCGUGCCUAAUACAUGCAAGUCGAGCGAACGGACGAGAAGCUUGCUUCUCUGAUGUUAGCGGCGGACGGGUGAGUAACACGUGGAUAACCUACCUAUAAGACUGGGAUAACUUCGAGAAACCGGAGCUAAUACCGGAUGAUAUUUUGAACCGCAUGGUUCAAAAGUGAAAGACGGUCUUGCUGUCACUUAUAGAUGGAUCCGCGCUGCAUUAGCUAGUUGGUAAGGUAACGGCUUACCAAGGCAACGAUGCAUAGCCGACCUGAGAGGGUGAUCGGCCACACUGGAACUGAGACACGGUCCAGACUCCUACGGGAGGCAGCAGUAGGGAAUCUUCCGCAAAGGGCGAAAGCCUGACGGAGCAACGCCGCGUGAGUGAUGAAGGUCUUCGGAUCGUAAAACUCUGUUAUUAGGGAAGAACAUAUGUGUAAGUAACUGUGCACAUCUUGACGGUACCUAAUCAGAAAGCCACGGCUAACUACGUG
rnacentral:rRNA from 1 species